CCUCGGGGGUCAGCAGUGGGGAAUAUUGGACAAUGGGCGAAAGCCUGAUCCAGCCAUGCCGCGUGUGUGAAGAAGGCCUUCGGGUUGUAAAGCACUUUCAGUGGGGAAGAAAGCCUUGGGGCUAAUACCCUCGAGGAAGGACAUCACCCACAGAAGAAGCACCGGCUAACUCCGUGCCAGCAGCCGCGGUAAUACGGAGGGUGCGAGCGUUAAUCGGAAUUACUGGGCGUAAAGCGCGCGUAGGCGGUCUGAUAAGCCGGUUGUGAAAGCCCCGGGCUCAACCUGGGAACGGCAUCCGGAACUGUCAGGCUAGAGUGCAGGAGAGGAAGGUAGAAUUCCCGGUGUAGCGGUGAAAUGCGUAGAGAUCGGGAGGAAUACCAGUGGCGAAGGCGGCCUUCUGGACCGACACUGACGCUGAGGUGCGAAAGCGUGGGUAGCAAACAGGAUUAGAUACCCUGGUAGUC
rnacentral:rRNA from 1 species